rnacentral:rRNA from 1 species
UCCACGCUGUAAACGAUGUUCAUUAGGUGUGGAGGUUUCAAUACCUUCCGUGCCGUAGCUAACGCGUUAAAUGAACCGCCUGGGGAGUACGACCGCAAGGUUAAAACUCAAAGGAAUUGACGGGGGCCCGCACAAGCAGUGGAUCAUGUGGUUUAAUUCGAUGAUACACGAAGAACCUUACCAGCACUUGACAUCUAGGGAAGCCUUUAGAGAUAUUGGCGUGCCUUCGGGAACCCUAAGACAGGUGGUGCAUGGUUGUCGUCAGCUCGUGUCGUGAGAUGUUGGGUUAAGUCCCG